rnacentral:rRNA from 1 species
GACGAACGCUGGCGGCGUGCUUAACACAUGCAAGUCGAACGGCAAGGCCCUGCUUUUGUGGGGUGCUCGAGUGGCGAACGGGUGAGUAACACGUGAGUAACCUGCCCUUGACUUUGGGAUAACUUCAGGAAACUGGGGCUAAUACCGGAUAGGAGCUCCUGCUGCAUGGUGGGGGUUGGAAAGUUUCGGCGGUUGGGGAUGGACUCGCGGCUUAUCAGCUUGUUGGUGGGGUCGUGGCUUACCAAGGCUUUGACGGGUAGCCGGCCUGAGAGGGUGACCGGCCACAGUGGGACUGAGGUACGGACCAGAGUCCUACGGGAGGCAGCAGGGGGGAAUAUUGCACAACGGGCGGAAGCCUGAUGCAGCAACGCCGCGUGCGGGAUGACGGCCUUCGGGUUGUAAACCGCUUUCGCCUGUGACGAAGCGUGAGUGACGGUAAUGGGUAAAGAAGCACCGGCUAACUACGUG